GACGAACGCUGGCGGCGUGCCUAAUACAUGCAAGUAGAACGCACAGUUUAUACCGUAGCUUGCUACACCAUAGACUGUGAGUUGCGAACGGGUGAGUAACGCGUAGGUAACCUGCCUGGUAGCGGGGGAUAACUAUUGGAAACGAUAGCUAAUACCGCAUAAUAUUAAUUAUUGCAUGAUAAUUAAUUGAAAGGUGCAAUUGCACCACUACCAGAUGGACCUGCGUUGUAUUAGCUAGUAGGUGAGGUAACGGCUCACCUAGGCGACGAUACAUAGCCGACCUGAGAGGGUGAUCGGCCACACUGGGACUGAGACACGGCCCAGACUCCUACGGGAGGCAGCAGUAGGGAAUCUUCGGCAAUGGACGAAAGUCUGACCGAGCAACGCCGCGUGAGUGAAGAAGGUUUUCGGAUCGUAAAGCUCUGUUGUAAGAGAAGAACGCGUGUGAGAGUGGAAAGUUCACACUGUGACGGUAUCUGACCAGAAAGGGACGGCUAACUACGUG
rnacentral:rRNA from 1 species